CUGGGCACUUGAGGUCAGGAGCCUCUGCAGCAGGAGCCUUCUGAAGGUGUUUUGAAGGAGACUGGCAAGGCGGAGAUCGCUGCUCAGAUCCUGGAGCCGCUCGGAAGAUGAGUCAAAGGAUUCCUGAAACAAUUAGAGCCGUGAGGUGCAGCAGCAACAGCACAUCCACCGUCAGCAGCUCUGCCAGGCGCCCUCGGCCAGCUGUUCGUGCUUUCCCUUUAAUAAGGCACAUUAGGCAAUUUCCCAUUGAAAAAUGUUUAUGGGAAUAUAUAAAUAUUCUCUUCUACAGAACUUGCCUGGCCCUUUGUGCGCCGAGCGGUGGCGAGAGUGACUUGAAUUGUUAUAAGUCUAUCGAGACAGCUGAGAUGGAGCCUUCAGCACGGUGGGAUGGAUGUCUCAGAGCCCCCUCAGAGACUGAGUCCCCCGGUGCCAGGAUGGGACACCUCGCUCCGUGGCACAAAGUGCCCCACCGAGCAGGACAGGCCACCACAGGCUGCGUCACGUCCCCUGGUGCCCAGCCACAGGCAGCGUGGGCAGGGUUUUCCCUCCUGUGAUUUCCCGAUGGCCACAGGAAAGAGCUUGCACAGACCCGAUCUGGAUUUAAUCAAAGGAAUUUUUUUUUUUUUUCAUUUGCUGUCUUAUGUGCUGACCACCAAACCACAUCCUUCGAGCCUGAGCCCAGCACAGUGAAACAAAAACUAGGCCAGGGCUUUUUGCUAUUUUUUUUCCUUUUUUUUUUCCCCUUAGUGCAUCAGUCGGGUGCAAAGCUGGCACACAGGUCUCCUCCAGCCCCUCUGCUCCCACACAGCCCCUUCCCAGGGCAGCCUGGCAUUUCCACCCGCCCUGAGCCAGGCACUUGCAGCUCCACGUGAAACCUGGGAACUAUCCAGAUUAUGUGCGCUGAGCACAGUGGCAGUGGGAAGCAAAUACAGAGGAAUAAUGAGCAACGAUGUGCUGGCAGACCAUGGCAGGACCUAAUAAGGCACAAGGUGGGGACUGUCCUUGGCUGUCACCCGACUCUUGCUUGGUGCAGCCUGACUGAGGGCUCAGAGCAAACCAGAGCAGCCCCAGUGAGCCCCUGGCGCUGGUGGGAGCAGUGGCUGUGGUGUGACACCGUCCCUGGCAGCAUCCCACAGCACCCAGGGGCGAGGUGCCUGCGUAGGGAAGUUCUCACGUUCGCAGAACAGAGAGCAGCUUUAUUGUUGUAUUUUGCAAACCAAAACCAGCCGGGAGUUUCUGAAGCGUCUGCCAUCCCCGCAGAGAGCUGUUUAGUCAUGCCUGUGACAGACAGUCGCACAGCUUGCCAGCCGCCGAGCUGCCACGUUUCCAGGCUCGGGGACUCCUCCAGGGUGAAGGAGGUGCAUGCAAAGUGGUGCUUGCUGAUGAACCUGGUACCGGGUCACCUUGAGAUGGGGAUUCUCAGCUGGGCUCAGCUGCGGGCAGUGCUCCUAGAGAAACCUCUGAGCUGCCUUCAGACCAUCCUGUCCGCUGCCAUCCCGUGCCUCUGGAAAUGAGAUCCCGCUGCUCACGUCAGGUUUCCCCCAGGAGCCACGUUGCUGCCUGCUCUGGGUCUCAGAUUCAGCCAGAGAGAAAUGGAGAGUUUCUAACCAGGCAGAAGCCUGUUGGAAAAGAAUGGAAAUAAUUCUUUAUUUCUCUUGUUGUUUGCAUUGUUUGUAGUUAAGUUUUAUCAUUUUGCGUCAAGCACUCUGCACCAGCAGUGUAGGUUGUUUUCACUUUAGGAUCAAUGGAGUUGGUCUGCAUGAAACUCUAUGUAAAGAGCAGUGGAUUUUGAAUAAAAUCGGAGUUUUACUCUCAAGAACCUUUGGAGUCAGAGUCUUUUCGUUCCCGUCCUGCCCCAACAGUGUGAGCCUGCCCUGGCUCCCUGGGGCAGCAGGGCUGGGCUGCCCUGGCUGCCUCCUCCCUCCCCUUCUCCCCUUCCCCUCCCCGCUGUGCUGCUUUCCUGGGCUGCAGAAAGAGGCAGGAUUUCAUGGCAUGCUGGCAGCGUGCAAACAGCUCUGGGGAAAUAAGUUAUGGUUUCAUUUUCAUGGGGUGGCUCCCUCUUCAUGGCAAAGGAAUACUUCUGGUUUAGCUCGAGCAGUAACAGCACAACUGACACGUUUCUUUUUUCAGGAAAGAAGUGAGGAGGACACAGAGAAAUCCUUCCUUUGCCUCCUCGGUUUUUUUAGUGACUGUUUCUACUGUGGCAGUACCAAAAGUGCUGCGUAAAGUGACAGGAGGACUGUUACAGGCUGCGGCAGGCUCAGGAACCAGUUAUUUCAUGUCCUCUCUUUAGAGGUGAGCGCUAAUCUUACCCUUUCCUUUAAGAGGCUGUAACACAAGAAGACACUUAUUUGUACCUGCUGUCAUCUGCCUCUUCCUUUCGGUAUUAUUUUAAGUGAGCCUUGAAAGAGCAGGGCUGGAAAGAGCCCCCAGCUGCCUGCUGGCACUGCGCAGUGAGGCUCCCGUUUGUCCUCACAGGCUCAGAUUCCCCAGAUCCAACAGCUUCUCCCUCCCUCCACAAGGAGGAUCCUCACCUGGGAGGCACCACAGCCUCUAAGACAUUUUAUAAUAGUUUUCAUUAUUACAUUUUUCAUUAUUAAAUGAAAAUAUUAUUUAUUUUAUAAAUAUGAUAUAUUUCUAAAUAAUAUCAUAAAUAUUAUAUAUUAAAUAAAC
ensembl:lncRNA